CGUCUUCUUCUUCUUCAAUGACUCAUCAAACCAAUCUCUCAAGUCAAAUCUCUUCGCUGGGUUCAACAAAUCCUUCCUCUUAUUUCUGUCGAUUACUCCUGAAUUCUUCAAUUUCAACAACGUAAUCUGUGACCCGACCCGCUUCCCCUGAUCGGAUUCGACAAUCAACGAACAACCACUCAAAUCUCUUCGGCUAGAGAUCAACGUGAUUUUGAAUCAUGAGCUUCAAACAAUAAAUCGAUGGGAUACUAUCAAAGAGAUGGUAAAGGAGAACGUGGUGGUGACUGGUAAUCGAAGAUAUAAAAUGGUUUUGUGCUGCUCUGUUUUCGGUUUAGAUUUGUUCUGUAUCACUUUGUCCCUGGUUUG